rnacentral:rRNA from 1 species
UACGAAGGUGGCAAGCGUUACUCGGAAUUACUGGGCGUAAAGGGCAGGUAGGUGGUUUGAUAAGUCUGUUGUGAAAGCUCCCGGCUCAACUGGGAGAGGCCAACAGAUACUGUCGGACUUGAGUGUGGGAGAGGAUACUGGAAUUCCCGGUGUAGCGGUGAAAUGCGCAGAGUUCGGGAGGAACACCAAUGGCGAAAGCAGGUAUCUGGACCACUACUGACACUAAGCUGCGAAAGCUAGGGGAGCAAACAGG